UAAGUGUUAGAGGGUUUCCGCCCUUUAGUGCUGAAGUUAACGCAUUAAGCACUCCGCCUGGGGAGUACGGUCGCAAGACUGAAACUCAAAGGAAUUGACGGGGGCCCGCACAAGCGGCGGAGCAUGUGGUUUAAUUCGAGGCAACGCGAAGAACCUUACCAGGUCUUGACAUCCUCUGACAACCCUAGAGAUAGGGCUUUCCCUUCGGGGACAGAGUGACAGGUGGUGCAUGGUUGUCGUCAGCUCGUGUCGUGAGAUGUUGGGUUAAGUCCCGCAACGAGCGCAACCCUUGAUCUUAGUUGCCAGCAUUCAGUUGGGCACUCUAAGGUGACUGCCGGUGACAAACCGGAGGAAGGUGGGGAUGACGUCAAAUCAUCAUGCCCCUUAUGACCUGGGCUACACACGUGCUACAAUGGACGGUACAAAGAGUCGCGAGACCGCGAGGUGGAGCUAAUCUCAUAAAACCGUUCUCAGUUCGGAUUGUAGGCUGCAACUCGCCUGCAUGAAGCUGGAAUCGCUAGUAAUCGCGGAUCAGCAUGCCGCGGUGAAUACGUUCCCGGGCCUUGUACACACCGCCCGUCACACCACGAGAGUUUGUAACACCCGAAGUCGGUGGGGUAACCCUUACGGGUGCCAGCCGCCUAAGGUGGGACAGAUGAUUGGGGUGAAGUCGUAACAAGGUAACCGUAAAGGGCGAAUU
rnacentral:rRNA from 1 species